UGGGGAAUUUUGCACAAUGGGGGAAACCCUGAUGCAGCGACGCCGCGUGAGCGAAGAAGGCUUUCGAGUCGUAAAGCUCUGUCCUAUGAGAAGAUAAUGACGGUAUCAUAGGAGGAAGCCCUGGCUAAAUACGUGCCAGCAGCCGCGGUAAUACGUAUGGGGCGAGCGUUUUCCGGAAUUAUUGGGCGUAAAGGGUACGUAGGUGGUUUUUUAAGUCAGGUGUAAAAGCGUGGAGCUUAACUCCAUUAAGCACUUGAAACUGAAAGACUUGAGUGAAGGAGAGGAAAGUGGAAUGCCUAGUGUAGCGGUGAAAUGCGUAGAUAUUAGGAGGAAUACCGGUGGCGAAGGCGACUUUCUGGACUUUUACUGACGCUGAGGUACGAAAGCGUGGGGAGCAAACAGG
rnacentral:rRNA from 1 species